AUAACUCGAUAAUCCACGCAUACACAACCUUCUCUCGAUAAUACAGCUUGUGUACUGCCGUUGUAAGCAUACCUCUAAAAGAUUAAGUAUGCCACUAUGAAUGUAUAUCUCAUAUACAUCAGGUCAAAGUGCAGCCUAUAAGAAGGUGAUGAUGGGUUACAACCUAAAAACAGAUAUCAACUAAAAAUGAAAAAUCUUACAAAAGCGGACUUGGCUGUAAUUAAUUUACAAGUUAAAAUAAUGAAUAAAAAUCUAAGGCAUGUACACAUCGCCCGUCACUCUAUCCCAAAGGAUAGAUAAGUCGUAACAAAGUAGGUGUAAUGGAAAUUGCCCCUGUCGAGGUAUAGCAUAUAAAAUGCUUUUUACUUACACUAAAAAUAAAGUCAAUAACUUACUUCGCUUAAAAAAAUAUUAUCUUAAUAACUAUUAACAAUAAAAACAACUAAUAACACAAAAAUAAAGUACAGAAAUGGAAAUAAUAAUAAAUAAAAGUAAUUCUUAACAAUUGUACCUUGUGCAUUAUGGUUUUACAAGAACAUAAUUAAAAAUAAAAAUCCCGAAUUCUAAAUGAGAUGUUAAACUGCUGUUAAGAACCCACUAUUAACUGUAGAAAAAGCUUUAAAAGACAGUUUAACAGAGGCUACAUACCAUACGCAUAAGAAUAUAGCUGGUUUUCAACAAACAUUAUACAUUAAAACAUAUAAUUAUAUUAUAGUGUAAUAUUAUUGAGGACAAGCCCAAUAAUACAAGUAAUAAAAAUAUAAAACCUAACCAAUUACAUAGGCCUAAAACCAGCCAAUUAAAAUACUUUACCGUACCAAAUACAGGCAAAAUUGAUAUAUUAACAUACUAAAUAAAGUUGAAAUAGUAGAUAAACUACCCAAUCCACUUAUACUAUGUAAAAAUAAGUAUUACAAAAAUAAUAAAAAAUAAUACAAGAAAAAACAACACAUAAUUAAUAAUAAUUAAUUAAGGAACUCGGCAAAUAAUCAUUUCGACUGUUUAACAAAAACAUUGUCUCAUGGACUACAUAUGAGAUAGAUCCUGCCCCGUU
rnacentral:rRNA from 1 species